GAUGAAGAACGUAGCGAAAUGCGAUAAGUAAUGUGAAUUGCAGAAUUCAGUGAAUCAUCGAAUCUUUGAACGCACAUUGCGACCGCCAGUAUUCUGGCGGGCAUGCCUGUCUGAGCGUCAUUUCAACCCUCAUGCCCCUAGGGCGUGGUGUUGGGGAUCGGCCAAAGCCCGCGAGGGACGGCCGGCCCCUAAAUCUAGUGGCGGACCCGUCGUGGCCUCCUCUGCGAAGUAGUGAUAUUCCGCAUCGGAGAGCGAUGAGCCCCUGCCGUUAAACCCCCAACUUUCCAAGGUUGACCUCAGAUCAGGUAGGAAUACCCGCUGAACUUAAGCAUAUCAAUAAGCGGAGGA
rnacentral:misc_RNA from 1 species